UCCAGACUCCUACGGGAGGCAGCAGUGAGGAAUAUUGGUCAAUGGCCGAGAGGCUGAACCAGCCAAGUCGCGUGAGGGAUGACGGCCCUACGGGUUGUAAACCUCUUUUGUCGGGGAGCAAAGAGAGUCACGUGUGGCUCAUUGAGAGUACCCGAAGAAAAAGCAUCGGCUAACUCCGUGCCAGCAGCCGCGGUAAUACGGAGGAUCCGAGCGUUAUCCGGAUUUAUUGGGUUUAAAGGGUGCGUAGGCGGCCUUUUAAGUCAGCGGUGAAAGUCUGUGGCUCAACCAUAGAAUUGCCGUUGAAACUGGGGGGCUUGAGUAUGUUUGAGGCAGGCGGAAUGCGUGGUGUAGCGGUGAAAUGCAUAGAUAUCACGCAGAACCCCGAUUGCGAAGGCAGCAUACCGGCGGCGAUCUGACGCUGAGGCACGAAAGCGUGGGUAUCGAACAGGAUUAGAUACCCUAGUA
rnacentral:rRNA from 1 species